ACCUGGUUGAUCCUGCCAGUAGUCAUACACUUGUCUUAAAGAUUAAGCCAUGCAUGUCUAAGUGCUUUGAUUGUCUAACAUUAGACUGCAGACGGCUCAUUAUAACAGUUAUUGUAUAAUUGAUAUUACCUUAUAGGUGGAUACCUGUGGAAAUUCUAGAGCUAAUACAUGUCAUAAAUAAUAUAUCUUUAAGAUAUAUUUGGCUUUUAUUUUUUUCAAAUCAAAGUGUUUCUACACUAUGGGUGAUUCAUAAUAAUGCUUGGAGAUCGCUUUAUAAGUGACAAUUCAUUCAAGUUUCUGACCUAUCAGUUAGUCAGUAGUGUAUUGGACUAUUGAGGCAUUGACGGGUAACAGAGAAUUAGGGUUCUGUUCCGGAGAGGGAGCCUGAGAAACAGCUACUACAUCUAAGGAAGGCAGCAGGCGCGUAAAUUACCCAAUUCUGAUUAAGAGAGGUAGUGACAAGAAAUCACAAUAUUUUGCCCUAGGGUUAAAUAAUUGUAUUGAGAACAGAGUAGAUAUAUUAUCGAUAAACUAUUGGAGGGCAAGUCUGGUGCCAGCAGCCGCGGUAAUUCCAGCUCCAAUGGUGUAUGCUAACAUUGUUGCAGUUAAAAAGCUCGUAGUCGAAUUUUUAAGGGAAUCAAUUUCGUGUGGUCUUAAUGAACUACAAAGGAAGAUGAUUUAUCUUAUUUUGCGCUUAUACACCGUUGGAAUUCGUUUUCUGACAGUGAAUUAAGUGUGUAUUUACUUUGAGAAAAUUAGAGUGUUCUAAGCAGUCUUACGGCUUUAUCCUAAAGCAUGGAAUGAUAAGUAAUGACAUCGGUUAAUUUCUGUUGGUUUGAGAGGUUGAUGUAAUGAUUUAUAGAGUUAGUCGGAGGUAUUAGUAUUUUGUCGUUAGAGGUGAAAUUCCGGGAUCGACAAAAGACUAACAACUGCGAAGGCAUUUACCUAGGAUUUGCUCCUUGAUCAAGAACGUAAGUUGGGGGAUCGAAGACGAUCAGAUACCGUCGUAGUCUCAACUUUAAACUAUAUCAGCUAAGGGUUGGCAAAUGUUUAUAUGACUUUGUUAGAACCUUAAGAGAAAUCAAAGCGUUUGGGUUCCGGGGGGAGUAUGGUCGCAAGGCUGAAACUUAAA
rnacentral:rRNA from 1 species